AUGGUGGCCGCGGGAGAUCCUCUCCAAGGUCAAGCACGUCCAGGCCAAGCCUGCUGGCCGCCCUCGCGGGUGGCUGGCUCUGCGGCGACGACGGCGGCCUCGUCGUCCCCGGAGGCCACGAUGCCCCUCAAGGCCGACCUGGCGCCCUUGGCGCUCACGCCACUGGUGCGGGCCCUCGUUCACCACAAGCUGGGCGCGCUCGUGCGGGACAAGGUGGUGCACGAGCACGAGGGGUGGAGACUCGUGACCUGCAUCUGGCUCCACGCCGGUGUCGUCCGCCUGCUCGCCAACAUGCUCAACCUCAUGCUCGUUGGGCUCAGGCUCGAGCAGCAGUUCAAAUUCGUGAGAGUCGGCAUCAUCUACCUCGUGUCUGGCUUCGGGGGCAGCCACAUGGGUUCCAUGGGGGUACAACAGCAGGAGGACGACCAUGACUCCAUCAAGUGCAAGUUCCAGGUUAUCUUUCUGGUUUGCCUGACAAAACUCCACAGUUUGUUGGCUUUGGGACAAAACAAGAUCCGAUUCCUCUCUAGGUUCAGCGCCAAUGAUCUCACUUUGGGGUGUGCUAUUGCUACGGUGCCCGCAUUUGCUUCCAUUUCUUCUCACAAGCAUAUGCACCUGCACGUCUAG
rnacentral:rRNA from 1 species